rnacentral:lncRNA from 1 species
CUGGGCUCCACGGAGGGGCUCCAGACCGGGAGGACCCAGCGCCAAACCCUUUCCUCUUGCAGAAAACACCAGGGCACAGGGCAGGCUUUACCUGGUUCUCUUCACCCAGAAAAGGCUGCUCAGAAUUCUUUCCUUUCUCUGUCAUUGCAUCACACAUUCUCAGAAAAAUGGAUUAAUCCCUCUUGCUUCCUCCAUGAAACCUUUUUCUCCACACCCAUGGGGUCAGCCCCCCUCCCUCUCCACCUUCCUCUGGCUCACAUGUCAUAUUGAACUGAGCCCUAAUUAUUCCGUGCAUCACUACUUAGGCUCCCCUUUUGAAAUCAGGAAGCACAACUUCCAUUUCCCAGCACUGCACACCCAGCAAGAUCUCAAACAGCACUUGAGGACAAACUGCAAAAACUGCUGUGCUCUCAGCACCCUGAACUUGACAACCAAGCAUCAUAUACACUCUUCAGGACUUGAGGACAAGUUGCAAAAGCUGUCAUGCUCCCAGCACCCCGAGCUUGACAACAAGGCUUCAUAUAUACUCUUCAGGUGAGAUUCAGCCCACUUCACAGAUGAAGAAAACUGAGACCCAAAACUCCCAACAGGCUUUCACUUUUCUGUGCAAACAGACGCACGAGAAUCUCAGUCCCAGGUAAGAAACCCCACAUCCGGACCCCCAUCCAUUUCUCAUCUUCCUCCUCCUCCUCACUGCUAGCAACAUUUGGUGCCUUUCCUGGGAUGAAAAACCCCGUUGGAGGUGGGUUUUCUUCUUAAAUUGUUAUUUUCUCAAGAAUUCUCAUGUAGAUAUAUAUGAUGGAACAUUACUCAGCCAUUAAAAAGAAUGAAAUCAUGCCAUUUUCAGUAACAUGGAGAGUGUCAUACUGAGUGAAGGAAGUCAGAGGAGUAGAAAUAUCAUAUUAUAUCCCUUAUAUGUGGAAUCUAAAAGGAAAUGAUACAAAUGAAUUUAUUUACAGAACAGAGACAGACUCAGACUCAGAGAAUGAACUUAUGGUUACCAAACGGGGA